rnacentral:rRNA from 1 species
UACGAAGGGGGCUAGCGUUGUUCGGAAUUACUGGGCGUAAAGCGCGCGCAGGCGGUCUUCCAAGUCAGUGGUGAAAGCCCGGAGCUCAACUCCGGAAUUGCCAUUGAAACUGUUGGACUUGAGGAUGAGAGAGGUGAGUGGAAUUCCCAGUGUAGAGGUGAAAUUCGUAGAUAUUGGGAGGAACACCUGUGGCGAAAGCGGCUCACUGGACCACAACUGACGCUGAUGCGCGAAAGCUAGGGGAGCAAACAGGG